rnacentral:rRNA from 1 species
GAGUUUGAUCAUGGCUCAGAUUGAACGCUGGCGGCAGGCUUAACACAUGCAAGUCGAGCGGGCGAGGUUGCUUCGGUAACUGAGCUAGCGGCGGACGGGUGAGUAAAGCUUAGGAAUCUGCCUAUUAGUGGGGGACAACAUUCCGAAAGGGAUGCUAAUACCGCAUACGUCCUACGGGAGAAAGCAGGGGAUCACUUGUGACCUUGCGCUAAUAGAUGAGCCUAAGUCGGAUUAGCUAGUUGGUGGGGUAAAGGCCUACCAAGGCGACGAUCUGUAGCGGGUCUGAGAGGAUGAUCCGCCACACUGGGACUGAGACACGGCCCAGACUCCUACGGGAGGCAGCAGUGGGGAAUAUUGGACAAUGGGGGGAACCCUGAUCCAGCCAUGCCGCGUGUGUGAAGAAGGCCUUUUGGUUGUAAAGCACUUUAAGCGAGGAGGAGGCUUACCUGGUUAAUACCUGGGCUAAGUGGACGUUACUCGCAGAAUAAGCACCGGCUAACUCUGUGCCAGCAGCCGCGGUAAUCC